UUUCAGUUUAAACACAAUUUAUUUCUGCUUAAAUAAUGAAUGGGAUCAUCCAUGUUGGUUGUCAUGUGUUACCAGAUCAUCAAUCAAUGCUUUAGGUGGUCUCAUAUGAAGAGAAUCAACGGAAGGAAAUAUGGCACCAAACCCCAAAGAAAAAAUGCCCCUUUAAACUACAGCAGGCUUAGAACAUAACAUUACACUGCUAAAAUAAUGACCAAUGAUUGGUUUGGAGCAAAUACGCAUGAGAACUGUUAACCCUUUCCAAUGUGUCAGUCUACAUUAUAUAUUGGGGUAAUACCUCUCUAACCCUUUCCAAUGUGUCAGUCUACAUUAUAUAUUGGGGUAAACACUCUCUAACCCUUUCCAAUGUGUCAGUCUAUAUUAUAUAUUGGGGUAAUACCUCUCUAACCCUUUCCAAUGUGUCAGUCUAUAUUAUAUAUUGGGGUAAUACCUCUCUAACCCUUUCCAAUGUGUCAGUCUACAUUAUAUAUUGGGAGCUCUCAUAUCUCCACGUCUUUAAUAGUAGAGGCAUAUUCCAUGUUACACAGUGGGCCCUCAUAAAGCAUUAGAAUGAAGUCUCCCUCUCUGUCCUGCUGUCCCCCAGGUGGCUGUGUGUUCAUGUCUCUUUAAAACAGUCAGUACCAGAGCAGAGUAGACAGACACUGAUAGAAGUAACACCUUAUUUCAUAAUACAAUGUUCGCAAAUGAGGAAAACUAAGUCAAACCAGGUGAAUCUCAUGCAUCAAAAUAUUAGUACUCUGAGGAAAUAUGUUCACAGAAGUGAUGUUUGAGAGUUGCAGUGGAGUUAGGUUAAAAUCAAGCUACCAUUUCGAUUUGACAAAUAUUUCCUGCUGAUAAUUAGACAUGUGCAGUAACACCCAAGCAUUUUCAUAAAGGUGGAAUCAAUAUAGGCAUUUCAUUCCAAUGCUUUGCGAAGCUGUCCUACCAGUGCAGAAAACAAACUAUCAGUGACUAACUUCAGAAGUUUUUACAGUGUCAUUUAUAUACAACCAAACCACCCGUUGUUAUUAAAAAACACAACCACAUUAUACACCCACCCCAGUGGUGUGGCUACAGGACAGAAUAUAUAAGGCUUGUAGAAGGUGACUCCAAGUGUUCCUCUAAUCUGUCAAUCAAACGUCCUGUUGUACCUCAUUGGUCCGAGAGAUGCUUGGAGGCGUGGCUACUGUUGUCCUGACGCCAUGAUGGAGCAGACCACACCCCUGUUCUCCUGUCACCGUGGUAACAACAGGUCAUGACUGGAGCCCAGGUUGUGGACAGAAAAGUAAGUUUUUCAUGCUCAUGCGAAAUCAAAUAAAGUGGUCUUGCUGUAAAACCAUGCGUUAACGUGAAAGCUGCAGACACACGUUCUGAUUGGCUGUUCUCCUUGCUUCAAGUUCCAGUCAUCUCCCUUCCAGGAAGUCAUGAAACAUCAACAAACCUGCAAAACAAAAAACAUAUGAUAGGUGAUUUAGAUCAACAUGAGUUUAAUUCUCUCACCACUGUGUAUGUUGUGAAUAGUUUGUCUCUCUUGAUUAACCAACUGCACCAACCAGCUAAACUAACAAGACUGCAAGGCCCUCAGAAAGGCUGAGUUAGCAUGUUGUCAAUAGGGUCACAUCUCUAGGGGGCUGAGUUAGCAUGUUGUCAGUAGGGUCACAUGUCUAGGGGGCUGAGUUAGCAAGUUGUCAGUAGAGUCACAUCUCUAGGGUCUGAGUUAGCAUGUUGUCAGUAGGGUCACAUCUCUAGGGGGCUGAGUUAGCAUGUUGUCAGUAGGGUCACAUCUAUAUAGGGCUGAGUUGGCACGUUGUCAGUAGGGUCACAUCUCUAGAGGGCUGAGUUAGCAUGUUGUCAAUAGGGUCACAUCUCUAGGGGGCUGAGUUAGCAUGCUGUUAGUAGGGUCACAUCUCUAGGAGGCUG
ensembl:lncRNA